rnacentral:rRNA from 1 species
AUUGAACGCUGGCGGCAGGCUUAACACAUGCAAGUCGAGCGGGGGAUGUUGCUUCGGUAACUGACCUAGCGGCGGACGGGUGAGUAAUAUUUAGGAAUCUGCCUAUUAGUGGGGGACAACAUCUCGAAAGGGAUGCUAAUACCGCAUACGCCCUACGGGGGAAAGCAGGGGAUCACUUGUGACCUUGCGUUAAUAGAUGAGCCUAAGUCGGAUUAGCUAGUUGGUGGGGUAAAGGCCUACCAAGGCGACGAUCUGUAGCGGGUCUGAGGGGAUGAUCCGCCACACUGGGACUGAGACACGGCCCAGACUCCUACGGGAGGCAGCAGUGGGGAAUAUUGGACAAUGGGGGGAACCCUGAUCCAGCCAUGCCGCGUGUGUGAAGAAGGCCUUAUGGUUGUAAAGCACUUUAAGCGAGGAGGAGGCUCUUCUAGUUAAUACCUAGGAUGAGUGGACGUUACUCGCAGAAUAAGCACCGGCUAACUCUGUGCCAGCAGCCGCCGUAACAC